rnacentral:sRNA from 1 species
UCAAUAACCUAAUCAAUCCUUUAAAAAUGUUUUUUCUAAUCAAUACCAUGUUUAAUUGGUCAAAUUUAUGUCAAUAUUUUUUCUGCAUGUUAUGACAAUUUCCCUUACAGAAAAAUUUACAAUUCUUUUGGAAAAUUGCUAUUUGCAUUCAUGGUUUCUAAAAAAGGAUUUCGCUAUCGAAAAGCAAACAUGGUAUCAAUCAUAAAGCGUGUUUUAAGUGUGAAAAUUUAUACAUAUUUGACGAAACUUGAUAAAGUAUCUAGUGUGUACAAAGACCAUUAGCAUAUGUUGAUGUGUUCAUACAAAUGCCAGUUCUGGGAAUCCAUUCAUGUGGAAUCAUUUGCUGAAUAGAACGAAUCAUGUUUGGUCAAGAUGUAAUGUUAUACAUUUAAUAAUUUUAGCAUAAAAUUAAAUAAAAGAUUAAUAAAUAAUUAAGCUACAA